GAACGCUGGCGGCGUGCCUAAUACCUGCAAGUCGAGCGAACAGACGAGGAGCUUGCUCCUCUGACGUUCGCGGCGGACGGGUGAGUAACACGUGGAUAACCUACCUAUAAGACUGGGAUAACUUCGGGAAACCGGAGCUAAUACCGGAUAAUAUAUUGAACCGCAUGGUUCAAUAGUGAAAGACGGUUUUGCUGUCACUUAUAGAUGGAUCCGCGCCGCAUUAGCUAGUUGGUAAGGUAACGGCUUACCAAGGCAACGAUGCGUAGCCGACCUGAGAGGGUGAUCGGCCACACUGGAACUGAGACACGGUCCAGACUCCUACGGGAGGCAGCAGUAGGGAAUCUUCCGCAAUGGGCGAAAGCCUGACGGAGCAACGCCGCGUGAGUGAUGAAGGUCUUCGGAUCGUAAAACUCUGUUAUUAGGGAAGAACAAAUGUGUAAGUAACUAUGCACGUCUUGACGGUACCUAAUCAGAAAGCCACGGCUAACUACGUG
rnacentral:rRNA from 1 species